rnacentral:lncRNA from 1 species
ACAUUGUGUUACGGGAGGCAUCUUCUAAUUUCUCAUGGUAAGAUUCUGUCAGAUCUGCAUAUUAACCAACAAAAUAAUUAGUAUAUUAUGUUUGCAGAAAUAAUAAUAUGUUUAUAUGUUAUAUUUGCAAAAUUAGUAAUAUCUUAUAUCUAUAAAUACAAAAGAAAUACCACAAGACAAAAGUUCAUAGUUUACUAGUAGGGCAAAAUUCUUGAAACUUACUAUUCUUCUCCUGAUCCACAGCCAUAGCACUAUCACUCGUCGUAAGUGAAUUACCAGCGACCACUCGAAACAUUUGGGGAUGUGAACUUGUAAAGUCUCAUCCCAAAACAAGGCAGCCCACCUUGCAGGCUAGAUCAGGUUCUGCAUCAGUUGCUAUCAUAAGGAUCAUAUGGGCUAGAAGAGCUGCUGCCUCCACCGUAUGAUGCUUCUUAGAUUUUUUUUUAAAACUGUCACCAUUCAAUUGAAAAUUUAAUAUAUACAUAUAUAUAUAUAUACACACACACACAAUUAUUUUUAAGUAAAACAAAUAGAAAUUUGGAGUUUUCAGUUACCUCUGAUGCUAUGGAUUUGUACAUAAACUCCCAUAUCUCUUUAGAUCUAGCCAUUGUAAUAUAUAUGUUUGUACUUAAUUCAUAGAACUUCUUGUAAUCAAGGCUAGUCACUUCUCCGUGUUUGGUCAGCUUUGAAUCAACUCCAACACAAAUAAAAUCUUCCCACCAAUAAGCAAUAUUAAUAGUUCCAUCGAAAAACAUGCACCACAAACAGGAAAUGAGAGAUUUAAGAGCAACUCCACCCAUGGAGCCUUUCCCCCUGGCAAUCCACUAAUGAAUCCACCCUUUUGAACAGUAACUGCCUUUAAUGAAUAGUAACUGCCAUUAAUGAACAGUAACUGCCAUUAAUGAACAGUAAUUGCCAUUUGCAUCUCCACCCUUGGAGCCCUCCCCCCUGGCAAUAGGCAAUAAAAUAUUAGUUUUUUUUGUUUGUUUAAAUAAUACAAAAUAAAAUUAUUUGUAAUUUCGGAUAAGAUUUUUUAAAUUGUUCUCGUUGCGCCACGUGUCUUUUUAUAAAAAAAAAACAAUUAUUUAGCGAUGGAUUUCGAUAAG